CCUACGGGUGGCAGCAGUGAGGAAUAUUGGUCAAUGGGCGCGAGCCUGAACCAGCCAAGUCGCGUGAAGGAUGACUGCCCUACGGGUUGUAAACUUCUUUUAUCAAGGAAUAAAGUGAGGCACGUGUGCCUUUUUGUAUGUAUUUUAUGAAUAAGGAUCGGCUAACUCCGUGCCCGCAGCCGCGGUAAUACGGAGGAUCCGCGCGUUAUCCGGAUUUAUUGGGUUUAAAGGGAGAGUAGAUGGGUGUUUAAGUCAGUUGGGAAAGUUUGCGGCUCAACCGUAAAAUUGCAAUUGAAACUGGCAGCCUUGAGUACAGUUGAGGUAGGCGGAAUUCGUGGUGUAGCGGUGAAAUGCUUAGAUAUCACGAAGAACUCCGAUUGCGAAGGCAGCCUACUAAACUGCCACUGACAUUGAUGCUCGAAAGUGUGGGUAUCAAACAGGAUUAGAUACCCGAGUAGUC
rnacentral:rRNA from 1 species